GACAGAGGGUGCAAACGUUGUUCGGAAUUACUGGGCGUAAAGCGCGUGUAGGCGGCCCUGCAAGUCGGAUGUGAAAUCCCACGGCUCAACCGUGGAAGUGCAUUCGAAACUGCAGGGCUAGAGUCCUGGAGAGGAAGGUGGAAUGCUUGGUGUAGAGGUGAAAUUCGUAGAUAUCAAGCGGAACACCGGUGGCGAAGGCGGCCUUCUGGACAGUGACGUGACGCUGAGAC
rnacentral:rRNA from 1 species